UACGGAGGGUGCAAGCGUUAAUCGGAAUUACUGGGCGUAAAGCGUGCGUAGGCGGUUUGUUUAGUCAGAUGUGAAGGCCCCGGGCUCAACCUGGGAACUGCAUUUGAUACUGGCAGACUAGAGUAUGGUAGAGGGGGGUAGAAUUCCUGGUGUAGCGGUGAAAUGCGUAGAUAUCAGGAGGAAUACCAGUGGCGAAGGCAGCCCCCUGGGAUAAUAUUGACGCUCAUGCACGAAAGCGUGGGGAGCAAACAGG
rnacentral:rRNA from 1 species